AAACAGACCUGGAAAACACGAGGCCGGAAUGGCCAAAGCAAUGGCGUAACCACCAUUCAAAGGAAACAUAAUACAAAUAUAAAACAACGAAAGCCUUCUAAGAAAACAAACAAAUGACCCGACCAAGUCAAACAAUAAAAUGAGACAAAGAUACAUAGUGAGUAACAACUGAAUUCGACACCGUCGACUUAAUAAUAAUCUGAAAAACCAAAGAACACACAAGAAUGUAAGACAAAUAAAAGAAAAAGAAAAGACGAAAGGUGAAUAGAAUAAGUACAUAAAAAAUAGAAACCAUCCAAAGCUAAAAAACGCAGAAAAUUAACAAGCAACGCAUGGAAAAAAUCCUUCACAGAAAAAUCAUAGACACAACAAGAGUUGGAAAUUCAGAAAGAAGGAAAAGUCACAUAAAGGACCAUACAAACAGACCUGGAAAACAUGAGGUCAGAAUGGUCAGGCAAAGGCGUAACCACCGCCCUGAGGAAUAAAUAAAACAGACAAACAUCGAAAUUAUUACUAUUAUUAUUACCAAUCACUGAUUCGCAAUUUGGAAUAUAAUCUUAUCCGUAGAAGAGACAAUAUAUAAUUAAAAGAACGUUGAAAUCUACUAUGAAAACAAUGAAAUGACCCGACGAAAACUGAAACACUGAAUAACGAGACAAGAGCAGAUUGUGGGAAACGAUCGAAUCCGAUUCCAUUGAUUCAAUAACAAUCUGAAUAAACUGAAGACCAUACAAGAAAGCAAGAUGAAUAAAUGAAAUAAGAGAGACGAGAGGAAAACUACAGACACGAUGAAAGCUAGAAACUCGUAAAAAAGGGGGAAAGGAUACGUAAACGGCUGUGCAACAGGCACGAAAACACAAGAACGAAUAAACUCAAAGACUAAUCAUACAAGGAAUAAGAAAUGAGAGGAUCACAAAAAACAUGCAGAAUAUUGAAAAGAAAACACAAACAGAGACGGCUUCGGCAUCGCCGACUAUCACAUGGAAAAACGAAAACCGAAAAUAAAUGGUUAACGAUUGAACCUCCGAGUCGGAUUGAUUUAUUUAUUCU